CAGUCGCCGCGGUAAAACGGAGGGUGCAAGCGUUAAUCGGAAUUACUGGGCGUAAAGCGCACGCAGGCGGUCUGACAAGUCAGAUGUGAAAUCCCCGGGCUUAACCUGGGAACUGCAUUUGAAACUGUCAGGCUGGAGUCUUGUAGAGGGGGGUAGAAUUCCAGGUGUAGCGGUGAAAUGCGUAGAGAUCUGGAGGAAUACCGGUGGCGAAGGCGGCCCCCUGGACAAAGACUGACGCUCAGGUGCGAAAGCGUGGGGAGCAAACAGGAUUAGAUACCCCAGUAGUCCCUGUCUCUUAUAC
rnacentral:rRNA from 1 species